ACAUGUUAUGUCCUGGCAGACAGUCUAUUAUAGAUACUGUGAGAUUAUAUAACAGCAGGACAAUGAUAACUUUCUCUCAGAUCGAAUCCUUGUUACAGCUAGCAGUGUUAGACAUUGGGAGCUGUGUGUUUUGUGUCACUGUUUACCCAUAACAAAGAUGGUGUCCCCGGUGUGGGCUGUCAGGCUAGGUAACAAGCAGUGACAGGGCACGGACUGUGUAACCUAGAGGACAAUGAUGCGGCUCUUCUGCUGGUGGUCAGGGC